rnacentral:rRNA from 1 species
AGAGUUUGAUCCUGGCUCAGGACGAACGCUGGCGGCGUGCUUAACACAUGCAAGUCGAACGGUGAAGCUCAAGCUUGCUUGGGUGGAUCAGUGGCGAACGGGUGAGUAACACGUGAGCAACCUGCCCCGGACUCUGGAAUAAGCGCUGGAAACGGCGUCUAAUACUGGAUAUGACACCAAUCCGCAUGGGUAUGGUGUGGAAAGUUUUUCGGUUUGGGAUGGGCUCGCGGCCUAUCAGCUUGUUGGUGAGGUAAUGGCUCACCAAGGCGACGACGGGUAGCCGGCCUGAGAGGGCGACCGGCCACACUGGGACUGAGACACGGCCCAGACUCCUACGGGAGGCAGCAGUGGGGAAUAUUGCACAAUGGGCGAAAGCCUGAUGCAGCGACGCCGCGUGAGGGAUGACGGCCUUCGGGUUGUAAACCUCUUUCAGCAGGGAAGAAGCGAAAGUGACGGUACCUGCAGAAGAAGCACCGGCUAACUACGUGCCAGCAGCCGCGGUAAUAC